UAGGGAAUCUUCGGCAAUGGACGAAAGUCUGACCGAGCAACGCCGCGUGAGUGAAGAAGGUUUUCGGAUCGUAAAACUCUGUUGUUAGAGAAGAACAAGGACGUUAGUAACUGAACGUCCCCUGACGGUAUCUAACCAGAAAGCCACGGCUAACUACGUGCCAGCAGCCGCGGUAAUACGUAGGUGGCAAGCGUUGUCCGGAUUUAUUGGGCGUAAAGAGAGCGCAGGCGGUUUCUUAAGUCUGAUGUGAGAGCCCCCGGCUCAACCGGGGAGGGUCAUUGGAAACUGGGAGACUUGAGUGCAGAAGAGGAGAGUGGAAUUCCAUGUGUAGCGGUGAAAUGCGUAGAUAUAUGGAGGAACACCAGUGGCGAAGGCGGCUCUCUGGUCUGUAACUGACGCUGAGGCUCGAAAGCGUGGGGAGCAAACAGG
rnacentral:rRNA from 1 species